rnacentral:rRNA from 1 species
UACGAGGGGGGCGAGCGUUGUUCGGAAUUAUUGGGCGUAAAGGGUGCGUAGGCGGUUUGGUAAGUCUCUUGUGAAAUCUAUGGGCUCAACUCAUAGUCUGCAAGGGAAACUGCCGGGCUUUGAGUGUGGGAGAGGUGAGUGGAAUUUCCGGUGUAGCGGUGAAAUGCGUAGAUAUCGGAAGGAACACCUGUGGCGAAAGCGGCUCACUGGACCACAACUGACGCUGAUGCACGAAAGCUAGGGGGAGCAAACAGG